UGGCGGCGGGGGGGGAGGGAGCGCCGGCGCGGCGCUGAGCUAAGCCGAUCCCACGUGUGACGGAUCUGGCUGCUGCCCCAGCGCCUCUCCAGUGAGAUCCUCCGGUAGCGGAGGGAGGAGGAGGAGGAGGAGGGGGGGGGAAGGGAAAAAAGGGGCACAGCAAGCGGAGCGAACCGAGCCGGAGCCGGGCCGGGGGGGGCGGGUUGGGCGGGCGGGGGGGGUUCUCUCAGGGGCUCUCGCUCGGCGCGGCCAUGGAGGCGGACGGGAGCCAGGCUACCUCGGGGAGCCCCGGAGAGGCGCAGCACGACCCCGGCAAGAUGUUCAUCGGCGGCCUCAGCUGGCAAACCUCACCAGACAGCCUUAGAGACUAUUUUAGCAAAUUCGGAGAAAUUAGGGAGUGUAUGGUCAUGCGGGACCCCACCACCAAGCGCUCCAGAGGCUUCGGGUUCGUUACGUUCGCGGAUCCGGCGAGUGUAGACAAAGUCCUGGCUCAGCCGCACCACGAGCUGGACUCCAAGACGAUUGACCCUAAAGUUGCGUUUCCCCGACGAGCACAGCCCAAGAUGGUCACAAGAACAAAGAAAAUAUUUGUAGGUGGAUUAUCGGCUAAUACAGUAGUGGAAGACGUGAAGCAAUACUUCGAACAGUUUGGCAAGGUGGAGGACGCCAUGCUAAUGUUUGACAAGACGACCAACAGGCAUAGAGGAUUUGGCUUCGUAACUUUUGAAAAUGAAGACGUGGUGGAAAAAGUGUGUGAAAUUCACUUCCACGAAAUCAAUAAUAAAAUGGUAGAAUGUAAGAAAGCACAACCUAAAGAAGUGAUGUUUCCACCAGGGACGAGAGGAAGGGCACGUGGAUUACCGUAUACCAUGGACGCUUUUAUGCUAGGGAUGGGAAUGUUGGGUUACCCAAAUUUUGUGGCGACGUAUGGCCGAGGAUAUCCUGGAUUUGCCCCAAGUUACAGUUAUCAGUUCCCAGGUUUCCCGGCAGCGGCUUAUGGACCAGUAGCAGCGGCGGCCGUGGCGGCAGCAAGAGGAUCAGGUAGGGGGGCCCGUGGAAGAGCAAACCCUCAGAGUGCAGGGUCAGUCUUGAAUAGCUACAGUGCUCAACCGAAUUUUGGCGCACCCGCUUCCCCGGCAGGCUCCAACCCAGCGCGGCCCGGAGGCUUCCCCGGGGCCAACAGCCCCGGGCCCGUCGCGGAUCUCUACGGCACGGCCAGCCAGGACUCCGGCGUGGGUAACUACAUAAGCGCCGCCAGCCCGCAGCCGGGCUCCGGCUUCGGACACGGCAUCGCCGGACCUUUGAUUGCAACGGCUUUUACAAAUGGAUACCAUUGAAACGUUACACAUGGUUGGUUGCCAUCUCACUUGGAGAGUCUCUCUGGAUGUCCGGGCAAGACAGGGCGAAGUUUCUGAAGGGGCCCACGUUGGGUGAUCUCAUCAGACUUUGAGCACUACAUCAUUACCAUCAUCAUCUUCACCGCCAACACAAACUGGAGGUGGCACUCGAAGGACUUGGGUUGUUAAAAAUCUCUCUCAUCAUCUCAUGAAUCUGCUGUACUAUAAAAACAACAGCUUUUAAAACGCAAAGGUUCAGCUCCAUCUUUGUUUUACUCAAGCCCAGCGAGUGAAGGAUCACGGAAUCGUGAACUGGUUUGGGCUGAAGGGACCUUAAAGCCCAUCCAGUUCCACCCUGCCAUGGGCAGGGACACCUUCCACUGGACCAGGUUGCUCCAAGCCCUGUCCAGCCUGGCCUGGACACCUCCAGGGAUGGAGAGUCCACAGCCUGUCCUGGCAUCCCUCAUUCCGAGGGAUGUUGCCCUGUGCUUUCCAAAUCUCCCACGUGGACCCGCUCCCCCCAGAAUGACCAAAAAGAGAGAUUUCCACCCUGCUGGGGGACCUGGGCACCCAAAGCAGCAGCGGGUCCAUCCCUGCCCGGCUGUGCCCUGGGACAGGCCGUGUCCCAGACACCAGGGACAUUUUACAGGAGCCACAAGAUCUCGGGGACCCUCCCCCGUCAAGUAACCCAAGUCCUUUGGGAUCGGCUUGAUUAAAACGAAGCCUGAUCUGUCCUUUGGGGUUUUUAAUUUUUUCUUAUACUUCCUAAAUGUUCACUUUGAGUUGAAUUUGUAGCUUGGACUUUAAGGUAGCAUGGCUCUCUUUGCUGUAAGUUAAUUUUUUUCCAUUGUACAGCAGCGUCUGCUGGUGAAUGUCACACAUCUUGCUAGGCUUAGUUUAAACCAUUAGGUAAUUGUGGGUGAUAACGACCUGAAAGGUGUUGGGAUUUCUUUUCUUCCCUGCUGGGCAGCCUGGGAUGCUGCUUUCAUCCGUAGUGUGAAUGAGGGCUAGCGACUCCAGCCACACUCCCUUCUCGUUUCGUUUCUGCCGUUCACUCAAUGCAACAUAAUCAAUAAUAAAGCAAUAUAGUUUACUACAUUUUUACUGAAGGCCAGCCAUGGUUCUGUAUGAUAUUGCAUAUGAAACUGUUUACAAAAACGAAA